CAAAUACCCCCUCCGUCCAGAAAUACUUGUCCUAGAAAUGAAUGUAUUUAGACUUAUUUUAGUUAUAGAUACAUCCAUUUUAUCCAUUUCUAGGACAAGUAUUUCCGGACGGAGGGAGUACUUA
rnacentral:pre_miRNA from 1 species